rnacentral:rRNA from 1 species
CAGCUUGCUGCGGGUACUCGAGUGGCGAACGGGUGAGUAACACGUGGGUGAUCUGCCUUGCACUUCGGGAUAAGCUUGGGAAACUGGGUCUAAUACCGGAUAGGACAGCUGUUUAGUGUCAGUUGUGGAAAGUUUUUUCGGUGCAAGAUGAGCUCGCGGCCUAUCAGCUUGUUGGUGGGGUAAUGGCCUACCAAGGCGUCGACGGGUAGCCAGCCUGAGAGGGUGUACGGCCACAUUGGGACUGAGAUACGGCCCAGACUCCUACGGGAGGCAGCAGUGGGGAAUAUUGCACAAUGGGCGGAAGCCUGAUGCAGCGACGCCGCGUGGGGGAUGAAGGCCUUCGGGUUGUAAACUCCUUUCGACAGGGACGAAGCGUAAGUGACGGUACCUGUAUAAGAAGCACCGGCUAACUACGUGCCAGCAGCCGCGGUAAUACGUAGGGUGCGAACGUUGUCCGGAAUUACUGGGCGUAAAGAGCUCGUAGGUGGUUUGUCGCGUCGUCUGUGAAAUUCCGGGGCUUAACUCCGGGCGUGCAGGCGAUACGGGCUGACUUGAGUGCUGUAGGGGAGACUGGAAUUCCUGGUGUAGCGGUGAAAUGCGCAGAUAUCAGGAGGAACACCGAUGGCGAAGGCAGGUCUCUGGGCAGUAACUGACGCUGAGGAGCGAAAGCAUGGGUAGCGAACAGGAUUAGAUACCUGGUAGUCCAUGCCGUAAACGGUGGGCGCUAGGUGUAGGGGGCUUCCACGUCUUCUGUGCCGUAGCUAACGCAUUAAGCGCCCCGCCUGGGGAGUACGGCCGCAAGGCUA